GGCAGCGGUAUUUUUCGGCAUCAGUGCGGCUCCGAAGUAAGCUAAGUUUCACAAAACAAUGAUUAUUGCAUUUGUUUAUUGACGAAUCAACCUCUUUAAAAUUUCCUUUCCGGUCCUACUCUUUAGUAUAUUUAUUUUUCGCAAUCCUCAAAAUCAUGCUGAAAACCACUCUCUCACUCUGCUCGUCGCGACUAAAAGCUGGGCUGUGCAAUGUUUACUUUAAUGCAAAACACAUUCCAAUAUCAAGGAUCAGAAGACUUAUCCACAGUUCUUGCGUUUCUGUAGAUCAUAACAGGAUGAAGGUCGAGAUUCUUCCUGCUCUUAAGGAUAAUUAUAUGUAUCUGAUCAUAGAUGAAGAUACUCAAGAAGCAGCUAUCGUUGACCCAGUGAGUCCAGACCAAGUACUAGCUGCAGUCAAAGAGAAUAACUGCAAACUGACCAAGAUACUGACAACGCAUCAUCACUGGGACCACGCAGGUGGAAAUAAGUGCUUGAGUUGUUCAGUACCUGAUGUACAAGUCUACGGAGGAGAUGAUAGAAUUGAUGCAUUGACUUGUAAAGUUGGACAUGGCAGCGUUAUCAACUUGGGAAAUUUGAAAAUUGAAUGUCUUCAUACACCCUGCCAUACCCGUGGACAUAUCUGUUAUUAUGUAACUAAAGAUUGUGCUGAGCCAGCUGUUUUUACUGGUGACACUUUAUUCAGUGGAGGCUGUGGAAGAUUCUUUGAAGGAACAGCUGAACAGAUGAACAAAGCUCUUAAUGAAAUUUUAGCUAAGCUUCCAGAUCAGACGAAAGUUUACUGUGGCCAUGAAUACACUAUAAAUAAUCUGAAAUAUGGACGCCAAGUGGAACCAAAUAAUCAAGCACUAGUAGAAAAAUUGGAAUGGGCUUGCUGUCGCCGUAAGAACAAUCUUCCAACUGUACCAAGUACAAUUGGAGAAGAGAAAUUGUUUAAUCCAUUCAUGAGAGUUUGUGAGCCUACUGUUAAGGCACAUACUCAGAAGUGUGAUCCAAUUGAUGUAAUGGCUUCCUUAAGAUCAGAAAAAGACAAUUUUAAAUGUUAAAUCUGAAUCAAGAACGGUUUUUUAAAAUAUUUUUUAUUAUUAUUAAAUUCUUUUGUAGCUUAAAGCAAUAUACAGAAAAAGCGCAGUAUCCGCGGGAAAUUUAAACACAAUCAUCAAUCAUGCUUGCACAGACGAAUAUAUAAGAUCAUUAGAAAAUAUCAGAAUCAUCCAAUCGCCAAUGUCCAUCAUAA